rnacentral:tRNA from 1 species
AGCACUGUGGCUUAGCAGGUAAAGCUGCUGCCUGCGAUGCAGCAUCCCAUAUGGGUGCGGGUUUGAAUCCCGGCUGUCCCA